rnacentral:rRNA from 1 species
GAUGGGGCUGUUUAACUGCAGUCGAACGGCAGCUCUUCGUCGCUGGGGGAGAGUGGGGACGGGUGAGUAAUAUAUCGGAACGUACCCUUUAUCUGGGGAAAAGGCUUUCAAAGGGCGCUAAAUCCCCCUACGAACAAUGAUUGAAAGCAGUUAAUAUUGAAACCUUGGGCGCAUGGAGCUGGGCAUAUCUGAUUUGCGAGAGGGGGUGAGAAAGCCUCUCCCAGGCCCUGUGAUCUUUAGGGGUCCUGAGAGGGAGAUCCCCCACUCUGACUGUGAGACACGGACCAGACUCAUACGGGGGGCAGCAGUGGAAUUUUGUGGACAAUGGGAGAGAGCCUGAUCCAGCCAUCCGGCGUGAAGGAAGACGGUCCUAUGGAUUGUAAACUCUUUUUGUAGAGAAAAAAUGCUACUCACUAAUCCCUCGCUGUAGGGACUGUACGAAUAAAAACCGCCUCACUCCAUGUCAGCACACCCGCGGAUACACAGGGGGCGAGCGUUAUCUUCAUUUAUUGUGUUUGAAGGGUCCGCACGGGGAGUUUUGUGUCACUGGCGAAAUCUCACCCGCGCUCCUCCCCCACUGCCCUUGAUACUGAGCGACUUGAGAAUCUUUGAAGUGGGUGGAGUAUUCCCUGUAUAGCGGAAAAAAAAUAAAAAAAAA